UUCUCAAUCUUGUACUGGAAAACACCCCAGCCACACCCAUGGCCAGAUGAGGGCAAAGGCACUGGGGCUGGUUCCCCAAUGUUGGCCCCCUGACCCAAAAGUGGCCCUUUCUGCUACCCUUCGCAAGCUCACAGACACCCUUUGGAGGGUCAUCUUUCUCCAUCCCUUCAGGCAGAAACGAGGACUGAGGAAAGAGGCCAGGGGAGUUGAGGCCUUGAGGUCAGGGAACCAGCCAGGGAAAGCUCUUGGUGAGGGCUGCUGGUGAACCCCAGUGGAUGCCAAGCCACAGGGUGCUCUACCCCAAACCGCUGACCCAUGUCAGUCAGGUGCUGUCAGGGACCAGGUAGGUUUUGACAUACCUGGCAAGGGAGCACCCAGGGGAGUGGGAAGAGCACCAGGCCUGGGGCAUGGCCACAGACACCUGCUCUACCAACGGAGCUUCAGGGAGUGAGGCAAGUGUAUGGCAAGGAGAAGCCAGGUCUGUGUGUGUGUGUGGUAUAUGUGGUGUCUAUGUGUUGUGUGUGUUAUGUGUGUGGCGUGUGUGUAGUAUGUCAGUGUGAGGGCCAUGACUCUUGUCCCCCUUUCUCACAAACCCUGGAUCCCCCCUCCUUCCCCCCCCCCAAGUGCAUUUAUCCCAACCCAGCAGAGGACUGGUAGAGGGAGUGAUUGGAUAAGGGAGUCAGUACCCAGGAGCCCCAGCCCUUCAGAGCCCACCCAGUGGGCUCUCCUCUCAUACCAACCACUCGGUCUCUGGCCCAUCAUUCAGCACAAGAGGCCCCCAACAUACAUGUAAAGCUGAGAGCCCAAC